GCCUACGGGAGGCAGCAGUGAGGAAUAUUGGUCAAUGGGCGGAAGCCUGAACCAGCCAAGUCGCGUGAGGGAAUAAGGCCCUACGGGUCGUAAACCUCUUUUGCCGGGGAGCAAGGACGGGGACGUGUCCCGGCCCGGAGAGUACCCGGAGAAAAAGCAUCGGCUAACUCCGUGCCAGCAGCCGCGGUAAUACGGAGGAUGCGAGCGUUAUCCGGAUUUAUUGGGUUUAAAGGGUGCGUAGGCGGGCUUUUAAGUCAGCGGUAAAAAUUCGGGGCUCAACCCCGUCCGGCCGUUGAAACUGGGGG
rnacentral:rRNA from 1 species